rnacentral:rRNA from 1 species
GCCUACGGGGGGCUGCAGUAGGGAAUCUUGCGCAAUGGGCGAAAGCCUGACGCAGCCAUGCCGCGUGAAUGAUGAAGGUCUUAGGAUUGUAAAAUUCUUUCACCGGGGACGAUAAUGACGGUACCCGGAGAAGAAGCUCCGGCUAACUUCGUGCCAGCAGCCGCGGUAAUACGAAGGGGGCUAGCGUUGCUCGGAAUUACUGGGCGUAAAGGGCGCGUAGGCGGACAGUUUAGUCAGAGGUGAAAGCCCAGGGCUCAACCUUGGAAUUGCCUUUGAUACUGGCUGUCUUGAGUACGGGAGAGGUGAGUGGAACUCCGAGUGUAGAGGUGAAAUUCGUAGAUAUUCGGAAGAACACCAGUGGCGAAGGCGACUCACUGGCCCGUUACUGACGCUGAGGCGCGAAAGCGUGGGGAGCAAACAGGAUUAGAUACCCGAGUAGUC